GCGGGCGUCCUCAGAGGAUCGCGGGCGCACAGAGUACACGGUAGAGGGGCUGGCUUUCCCGCCAGAUAAGAGCGCCGGAACCGGCCAGGCGCAGGACGCCCGCGGCGCUUCCGCUCAACUCAGAGAGAGCUUUCUCCUGGCGACGGUCCCCUUCAGAGUCCUCUGAACAACCCCGCCCGGCCGCAUCCCUUGCAAACUUGUUCCCAGGAGUCCCUUUCUGCCCCGGCCGGGGAAGGCCCAGCUCAGCCCUGGCCUGAUGCCACAGCCGAGCUGACACUCAAGGCUCCCAGCUCCCCCAGCCCCGCUGAGCGGGAGGGGCCCGGGUGGGGGACAGAGCAAAGAUGCUCUGAAGAGGGGGAUGAACUCGACUUGCAGUAGACUCCAAGGGGACAAUAAGAGAAAGAAAACAGCUGUGCCUACCUACUCCAGAUCCUGGCACACAUUUCUCUGCAGAUGUGCUGUGUGACCCAGGACAAGAUGCUUUGCCCUCCAACCUGGUGAAAACGAAGAUGAUGCUCCCUUCAUCUUAGGCUGAAAUAGAACACCAACAGAGAUGUGGCGAGAUGAUGAUCAUCCUUCCAAAUUUUCUAUUAGACUGGGUUAGCUACAUUUAAAAAUAAGAACAAACCAAAAAUAAUCCUCAGAAAAGCUUCAUGAAGUUCAAAAGCGCCAUUGCUCAUGUUGCCUCCAAAGGGGCAAGAAUUUUGCCAUUGCCACCCCUGUAUUCCCCUCCUAAAACAGAACCUGGCAUAUAGU